AUUGAACGCUGGCGGCAGGCCUAACACAUGCAAGUCGAACGGUAACAGGAAGAAGCUUGCUUCUUUGCUGACGAGUGGCGGACGGGUGAGUAAUGUCUGGGAAACUGCCUGAUGGAGGGGGAUAACUACUGGAAACGGUAGCUAAUACCGCAUAACGUCGCAAGACCAAAGAGGGGGACCUUCGGGCCUCUUGCCAUCGGAUGUGCCCAGAUGGGAUUAGCUAGUAGGUGGGGUAACGGCUCACCUAGGCGACGAUCCCUAGCUGGUCUGAGAGGAUGACCGGCCACACUGGAACUGAGACACGGUCCAGGCUCCUACGGGAGGCAGCAGUGGGGAAUAUUGCACAAUGGGCGCAAGCCUGAUGCAGCCAUGCCGCGUGUAUGAAGAAGGCCUUCGGGUUGUAAAGUACUUUCAGCGGGGAGGAAGGGAGUAAAGUUAAUACCUUUACUCAUUGACGUUACCCGCAGAAGAAGCACCGGCUAACUCCGUG
rnacentral:rRNA from 1 species